GUGAAAGAUUGACGUCAUUGAAUAUGUUAGGUAUGAGUGGAUGUAAGCAAUUAGAAGUAGUACCAAAAAGCUUUGAGCACCUUACAUGUGUUGAAGAGUUAUAUUUGAAUGAUUGCAACAACUUGAAGAAACUAGAUGUAAUAUUUACUGGUAUGAGAGCUUUGAGAAUAUUAUCACUUUCAAGAUGUGAGAAUUUAGAAGAGAUGCUAUUGGGAUUGGAAAAUCUUUCUAAGCUAGAAAAGUUGUGGUUGAAAAAUCGUAAGAAGCUAAAGAUUGCACAUGAUACAUUUGAAGGAUUGACAUCAUUGAAUUUGUUAGCUAUAAGUGGAUGUGAGCAAUUAGAAGUGGUACCAAAGAGCUUUGAGUGCCUUACAUGUCUUAAAGAGUUAUAUUUGAAUGAUUACAUCAACUUGAAGAAACUAGAUGCAACAUGUAUUGGCAUGAAGGCUUUGAGAAUAUUAUCACUUUUUGGAUGUGAGAAUUUAGAAGAGAUGCAAUUGGGAUUGAAGAAUCUCUCUAAGUUAGAAGAAUUAUGGUUUAUAAAUUGUAAGUAGCUAAAGAUUAUACAUAAUGCAUUUGAAGAAUUGACACCAUUGAAUAUAUUAGUUAUGAGUGGAUGUAAGCAAUAAGAAGUGGUAUCAAAAAGCUUUGAAUACCUUGCAUGUCUUAAAGAAUUAUUUUUGAAUGAUUGCAUCAAUUUGAAUGAUUGCAUCAAAAAUAAUUCUUCAAGACAUGCAAGGCCAACUGCAGGACCUACUAUGGAGCAUGCUGCCACACUAGCUCCAGAACCCGCUGCAGAGCCAAUCGCCGUGCUUAUUGUGGAUCUCGCCAAUGGGCUUGAUAUGGAGCUUGCUAUCAAAGCGAUUACAUUUGCGGCGGACUUUGUCUAAAUGCCUCAGAAACUUGUUGUUGCACCUACAUUCACAGUGCCUCUUCCAACAAGAGAACAAUCAAGAAACAAAAAGAAAAAAAAAAAAAAAAAAAAAACAAGAAAUGUGUGGACAACAAAGAAGAAGCAAGAAACAAAUACAAGUCAAUCAAGAAAUACAUACCUUCUCAAAUUUGAAGAAGCAGUGAGAGAGCUACAAAAGAGCUUCUCAACAAUGCAACACCAAAAAGGAGAUUGAAAUCCUAUAUUUCUCACAUAUCUGUUUUUAAAAUGGAUGAACUUUUGCUAUGGAUGAAAUUUAAUUUGAGGAUGAAGAUUAGUGUACUAGUGGGAGUAUUAGUAGAAUUAUACUAUAUAGUACACUAGUCUCUUGGUAUUAAUAUAGAAUACUAUCUACUUUGUAUUGACCUUACACCAAGAGUUGUGACUCUUGGUAUCACCUUUCUACAUACAAUAUAUUAUGUAUCAAUUGAUCAUAUUAAUAAUAAUGUUGUUUCCAACAGAGUCAAGGCAUGCUCCAUUAUCCUGGUGGACUGAUUGUCAUCGUCUUAAGAUCUUGAUUUUUUCUCGUCCAGCUGUCGAGCUGAUUGUAGUGGCAUUGGUGCCAGUUGCUGGACUCAAACAAUACCGAAUUCUCUUCAGAGCUAUCUUGGGAGCUUUUAUUGUCGUUGUCUCCUUGAGGCAGUUGAAGGCUUGGUUCCCUUUGAGUGAAAAGCCAAGUGUGGCUGAUGCAAUUGAUUGACUAUUGCAUUCCACAAAUAAUUGCGGCUUUGUUCCUUGCUGAAUCAGCUCUACACUUCAACGAUCCAAGACUCCACUGAUCGUUUGGGUGGAACUUGAGAGGGAUCGAGAAUUGAUGUGGUUGCGUAACUUGAGGGUGAUUCUUUAACAAGGAAGUGAUGCACAUUUUGGUAGUCUCUGCCUGCUAGUCAAUAAUUGGGCUGUGACGGUGGCGAACUUUGAGGAGGGCAUUGUUAGAUGACAAGCAAGCCCACAUUCUCGCAGUAGGACUGCAGCAACUACUCCAGGGAUCUGACUUUGUGACCUGGUGCCGGUGUUGUUCCUUUGCUUUUAAGGUGUUGUCAACAUUUUCUUCCGCAUGGUGAGGUUCCACAUGAUGAAUUAUUACGUUAGAUGAAUUUAGACGGAUGAUGUUUGGUUUAGAUGAAGGAAGUUAGAAUUUGAAGGAAAUCAAUUUGGAUGAAUAUUUUAAUCAAGGUUGAAUUAUUAUAGAUGAAUAUUGUUGUUAUUUGUAGAUGAAUUUCUAUUCUUAGAUGAUACUUUGUGAAUGGAUGAAAAUUAAGAUAAAAACAUAAAUUAAAAGAAAAUAAAACAUUUUAUUUUUA